CCUACGGGCGGCAGCAGUGAGGAAUAUUGGUCAAUGGACGAGAGUCUGAACCAGCCAAGUAGCGUGAAGGAUGACUGCCCUAUGGGUUGUAAACUUCUUUUAUAUGGGAAUAAAAUGUUCCACGUGUGGGAUUUUGUAUGUACCAUAUGAAUAAGGAUCGGCUAACUCCGUGCCAGCAGCCGCGGUAAUACGGAGGAUCCGAGCGUUAUCCGGAUUUAUUGGGUUUAAAGGGAGAGUAGGUGGAUUGUUAAGUCAGUUGUGAAAGUUUGCGGCUCAACCGUAAAAUUGCAGUUGAAACUGGCAGUCUUGAGUACAGUAGAGGUGGGCGGAAUUCGUGGUGUAGCGGUGAAAUGCUUAGAUAUCACGAAGAACUCCGAUUGCGAAGGCAGUUCACUGGACUGCAACUGACACUGAGGCUCGAAAGUGUGGGUAUCAAACAGGAUUAGAUACCCGUGUAGUC
rnacentral:rRNA from 1 species